rnacentral:rRNA from 1 species
GUCCUAUAGAUUGUAAACUGCUUUUAUACAGGAAGAAAAGGAGAGANGCGUUCUUUUAUUGACGGUACUGUAUGAAUAAGAAUCGGCUAACUCCGUGCCAGCAGCCGCGGUAAUACGGAGGAUUCAAGCGUUAUCCGGAAUCAUUGGGUUUAAAGGGUUCGUAGGCGGGACGAUCAGUCAGUGGUGAAAGUUUGUGGCUUAACCAUAAAAUUGCCAUUGAUACUGUUGUUCUUGAGUUAUUGUGAAGUGGUUAGAAUGUGUAGUGUAGCGGUGAAAUGCAUAGAUAUUACACAGAACACCAAUUGCGAAGGCAUAUCACUAACAAUCAACUGACGCUGAUGAACGAAAGCGUAGGUAGCCAACAGGAUUAGAUACCCUGGUAGUCUACGCCGUAAACGAUGGUUACUAGCUGUUUAUCAUGCCUUCGGGCGAGAUAAGUGGCUAAGCGAAAGCGAUAAGUAACCCACCUGGGGAGUACGUUCGCCAGAAUGAAACUCAAAGGAAUUG